rnacentral:tRNA from 1 species
GCCGGGCUGGUGGAAUGGUAGACACAUCAGACUUAAAAUCUGACGGGUGCGCCCGUGCCGGUUCGACUCCGGCGCUCGGCACCA